UACAGAGGGUGCGAGCGUUGUCCGGUAUCACUGGGCGUAAAGGGCGCGUAGGCGGCCUGAUAAGUAGGGGGUGAAAUCUUGCGGCUCAACCGCAAGGCUGCCUUCUAAACUGUCAGGCUGGAGCACGGUAGAGGCAGAUGGAAUUCCCGGUGUAGCGGUGGAAUGCGUAGAGAUCGGGAAGAACACCAGUGGCGAAGGCGGUCUGCUGGGCCGUUGCUGACGCUGAGGCGCGACAGCGUGGGGAGCAAACAGG
rnacentral:rRNA from 1 species